CCGAGUUUACAACUCCCAAACCCCCUGUGAACUUAUACCAUUACUGUUGCUUCGGCGGGUUAUUGCCCCGGGGAAGGACAGGCUGCCGCAAGGUGCCCUGCCGCCGCCCCCGGAAACAGGCGCCCGCCGGGGGACUCAAACUCUGUAUUUUCUUCUUCUUGUUUUAGUGUAUACUGUCUGAGUAAAAACAAACAUAAUGAAUCA
rnacentral:misc_RNA from 2 species